ensembl:ncRNA mir-963 mir-963 stem loop
UUAGUCUAAUCUAAAACAAGGUAAAUAUCAGGUUGUUUCCUGUAUUCGAUCGAAACAUCUGUAUAUACCUUUGUUCCGAUUGGACAAAA